rnacentral:rRNA from 1 species
GACGAACGCUGGCGGCGUGCCUAACACAUGCAAGUCAACUUGACUGAAGGAGCAAUCUGACAGUAGAGUGGCGCAAGGGUGCGUAACGCGUAAGUAACUUGCCCCAAGGUAAGGAAUAACGUCGAGAAAUCGGCGCUAAUACUUCAUAAUGCAGCGGAUCCGCAUGGAUAUGUUGUUAAAGGUUUACCGCCUUGGGAUAGGCUUGCGUCUGAUUAGCUAGUUGGUGUGGUAACGGCACACCAAGGCUACGAUCAGUAACUGGUCUGAGAGGAUGAUCAGUCACACUGGAACUGAGACACGGUCCAGACUCCUACGGGAGGCAGCAGUGAGGAAUAUUGGGCAAUGCUCGAAAGAGUGACCCAGCAACGCCGCGUGGAGGAUGAAGGUAUUCUAUAUCGUAAACUCCUGUGAGAGCAGACGAAAGACAGAUUAUUAAUCUGGAUGACUGUAUGCUCAGAGGAAGCCCCGGCUAACUACG